UCCCUGGUGGUCCAGUGGCUAAGACUCUGCACUUCCAAUGCAGAGACUCUGAGUUUGAUCCCGGGUCAAGGAA
rnacentral:tRNA from 1 species